UAAGCUAGCAGUUUGCGAGAUACUCGGAGCAGGGCCGAUCUUUCUGCCCUACAUGAUCUAUCGCUCUUAUUGCUCGACUCUACCACCAAUCCUGAUUCUUACGUUUCACACGAUAAAUAUCCUAUUUCUAAUCGUAUUUUAUUCCCCCUUCAUUCCAAUCACAUCUCUCUUUUUCUUUUUCCCACUCUUUACUCAAAAUGGCCGCGAUCAGGAUUUCUAGAUUGGAGCAUUUACCUUCUGCUGCGCUAUGCCACUUGAGAGUCGGAUAAUUUGCACAGAUUUGAUCCAAAUGGUAAUUCUGGAGCUAAAUUUCGGUCCAUGGUCAGACGAAUUCCACUGCAAAUCGAUCAGAGAAUAUAAAGUCUAUGCUCAGAUCUCACUCAAAUGUGUUCUUCGGCAAGGAGGCCCCUUACAGUUUUUGUCUCAAAUUGAGAGAUGAUAUGCAGAGCUCACAUUUGGAUGCAAUCUUAAAGCCUUUUUUAUUGCUGUGUCAGUUUUGCAAUAUGUGUUAGUAUGUUUCUGUUUUUGCUACAACUGCUUAUUGUGCUCUAUAAUGCUGUAGGACAAACAAGCAGAGCAGGAUAUCCUGCCUGAGCUGUCAGGAUUAUCAAACAACAUGAUGCUAUGCUAUGGUAGGCAACACUUAUGAAAACAUUAUCGGUUGAUAUGCUGGAUGUGGUUGACGUGUAUUUUUUCGAGGUUAGCUUCAUCUAUGUCUAUUACAUGGUGAAUGUACAAGCUACUACCAUACAAAUCAGGGCCUGUGAGUGUGACAUGUCGACGUGAAGUCUGGAGUUGCACCUAAUUACUGCCUUUUCCUAAAGAGGACUAGGAAAAAGUAUAUUGUCAAUGGAGUUUUUACUUUUUUUCAUACGCAGUAAAAAAAAUAUAUAUUGUCAGCUGUCUCUACAAAUGUUUAAUUACAUUUGAGAUACUUUUUCAUUAUUUUUUAACCAUUUUUCUCUCC